AGGACACACAGGUCACCAAGGAAACGGCCCUGUGCAAACUCACACCAUCAUGUGAAGUGGACAUCUGCAUUCUAGUGCUACACAGACUACACCGUCUGCUUCAGAGAGUUUGCAGAAGGAUCUGUAGCUUUUCCAGCUGAGAAUGGGGUUCAGGAUACUGAAUCAACACAAGAAACGAGAGAAACUGGGGAUGAAGAGAACUCAGCUAAAUUUCCUACAGGAAGGAGAGAUUUUGACAAAGAAGACACUAAGGUUUUCAGAAAUUAAAUUGCUUUUUGGAAAAGGUGGGAGAUUCUGGGAACAUAGAAACUUGAAUCCAGUUUUCUUCAACUCCACAUCAAGACAGUUGCAUUGUGUGAGAAGAUAGCUACGGCCAUUUGUGAUAAAAUCACAUAUAUGCAAUUAUGUGAAACUAAUUGUGUGUAGAAAUAUGGGUAUAUAGAAAGGAAGACAGCAAGGUUAACGGUGAGCAGUGGCUAAAUGAACAAGAGAACAUUCAGUUAAGUAUUUCAUCUCCAAAAUGGUAUAAACUGCGGCAGAAAGUACUUUGUUGAAUCAAUAGUUUCGAGACAGACAUACAGUAGGGACAUCGAAGGUACAAAAUAGAGCACUGAUGAAGGAGUGAAUUAUCAUCUUCACAGAUGAGUAGAGAAAGAGAAGGUCUAAGUAUUGAGAUGAGAAUAUAGAAAUUUCUGAAGCACAACACAGCUCAGAAAUUCAAUCUGAAUAUAUUCCAAUCCAGUGCCUUGCAAUAGAUCCAUAAUGAUCGCCUAUCUUUCCAUCAUACAAAGCAAUGCAUAUCAUUUAAACAUUUUUCUAGCAUGAAAAUGUGCCUGGGUUAUGCAAUACACACUUUACCAAAAUAUGAUUCUGGUGGCUGUAAGCACUUAAUUGUAAUGACCUGUAAAAUGAGCAACAUUUUUAACUCUGAAAUUCUAAUCAAUAUUAGUUAAUGAGGUGUGUGACAACUUAUAAUGCUUUUAAAUACUCUUAGUGGCCAUCAUAAUACAAAUUCUCCCACUUACAGCAAAUUUAAUUUUAAUCCUUGCAAUAAUAUAAAUGAAAUACAUCU